UAAAUACUUCCUCCGUCUGGAAAAGCUUGUCCCAAGCUUGUUUCUCGAAUGGAUGUAUCUAGCACUAAUUUGAUGUUAGAUACAUCCAUAUAAGGGACAAGCUUUUUUGGACGGAUGGAGUAUAAA
rfam:Triticum aestivum genome assembly, contig: Triticum_aestivum_CS42_TGACv1_scaffold_159341_2DL